CAAGGAAAAAAGUCAACGAUACAGAGCCAUUCAGAUUUUAUUUGUAACGUGUGCCAUUUUAAUCGGGAUUUGGCAACCAUCUCUGGGACAAACUCAUGGCCACUAGUACAGACAGGCACAGCAGGUCCCAGCUAUGAUGGCCUGAGAUGGACCCACAAGAGGGAGGCCGGUCCACCGCCCCUCCUGCCACUGCUCCUCUCCAGCCCGUGCUGUGUUCCGUACUACCUGAGAACACAGGUGUUCCCUGUGCAACCUGUAAGGUUCUUCAGAACGCUGCAGGAUCUGGGGGACCUAGUGAAGAGGGACUGGAGGGGCCUCAUGGAACAGCUCUAUGGGUCCCUGGACCAGCAGCCAACCUGUUCAGGCCUCCUGGACUCCCUUGAUAGAUGUUAUCACAAAAGUGUUGUCCAGGCUCUGUGUCGCUGGUUUGCCCUCUCCAACCAGACCGCUGCUGUCAUGGAGGAACUCAACACGUUUACUGCCUGUCUCACUCAUUCUGACAUGUCUCAGAGUCUAGCAACCUCAAGGAAUUCAACCAUUAAGUUAACAGGCCUUCAGUGA
rnacentral:lncRNA from 1 species